rfam:Toxocara canis C1795302, whole genome shotgun sequence.
UAGCUCAGUGGUAGAGCUCCGGCUUCGUACGCUGGAAGACUUGGGUUCGAUUCCCGG